GGAGGGCUCGCAUUUAUUGAUCAUUGAUGACGUGCUGGAAGGUCACGGGUGUAAGCGAGGCGCUGGCUGCUGGUGGGGGUUUGGGUGACUCCUCGGGAGACCCGAAUGAGAAAAUUGAAGCCCAGAAAGUAGGUGACUGACCAUUGGUCUCAUGGCAGUGCUUAUGGUGAGCUGAUUAGACAAGAGGAUUUAAGUACCACAAAUGUCCACGGGAAACCAGUGGCAAAAACAUCCUAAUUGAUUCUCACAUAUAGUGGACUACUACAGCCCUGCAGUCCCACUGUGAGAAGAACGGGAAGGACAGUGAUGGAGGAAAAUCCUCCCAGGGGGCAGUUCACCUGGUUGCUUGUUCUGCACGGAAGGAGAGAUGGCUCUAGAGCUCAGCAGUCAUACCACUUGACCUUUAUCCUCAGAGAAACACUUGUAUAUGUGUUCAAGGAAGCAUGCCUAAGGAUGUUCACGGAGAAUUGUUUAUAAGGAGGAGGUGAGUUGAGGAUCUUCCUCCAUCACCAUCUUGAAUUGGAAUCGGGAACCAAAAACUCUCUUUUGGAAUCAGUCAUUCCCAGCCCAGUCCCCAUAUUCAGAAGUGUCAAGUCUCUGAUCACAUGCCAAAAUAAAGGUAGGUGGUUUGGGAACUUUCACAUAUUCAAUAUAUAUAAAACGUUGGGCUGUGUGGGGAAGUCCUGUGACCCCAAUCCUCUUUGUCUCCAGGUGAAACAGCAUAUUUUUUUAAUGUUCAUGUAAGUAUGUCUAUGCAUAGGAAAAGUUCUGGAGACAUACAUACAUACCUAACUAAUAAGAGUAAUCAAGUGGAGACUUUACUAUACCUGUACUAUCUUUUUGGGAAGGAGGGAAAAUGCAAAUAUAUUUUUUUAAUUAAAAAUAUUUGUAUAAUUGUGGUGAAAUAAACAUAACAUAAAUUUACUAUCUUAACCAUUUUUAAGUGUACAGUUCAUAGUAUUACAUAAUUCACAUUGUUGUAACAACCGAUCUCCAGUAAUCUUUUCAUGCAAAUCUGAAACUCUAAUAUCCUUAAAACAACAAUUCCCCCAUUCCUCCCUCCCCAUAG